GAUGAACGCUGGCGGCGUGCCUAAUACAUGCAAGUCGAGCGAAGAGUUUCUGAUCCUUCCCCUAGGACAAUAGAGGCGCAAAGGGGAGUGUAACGCGUAUAACCCAUGCAUCAUACACGGAUAACACUAGGGAAAAGGAGAUCUAAUCCGAGAUAACAUCAUUCACUGUGGUGCUAUAGUGUAAAAGUUUGUUUUUCUAACACAAAGAGAGAUCUUCGCGGUGUAUUAGCUAGUUGGUGGGGUAAAGGCCUACCAAGGCGACGAUGCAUAGCCGACCUGAGAGGGUGAUCGGCCACACUGGGACUGAGACACGGUCCAGACUCCUACGGGAGGCAGCAGUAGGGAAUCUUCCGCAAUGGGCGAAAGCCUGACGGAGCAACGCCGCGUGAGUGAUGAAGGUCUUCGGUUCGUAAAGCUCUGUUGUUAGGGAAGAACGAAUGUGUAGGAAACAAACAACGUAGUGACGGUACCUAACCAGAAAGCCACGGCUAACUACGUG
rnacentral:rRNA from 1 species